GGCAGCUACAGGACAGGAAGAACUCCUGCUGGGGGAGGGUCUACUCUCAGCUUCCCAGGGGAAGAGGGACCAGGACACCUGUAUGGGUGGCUUCAUGGCUGACACCCAGAAUUUCCGUUCCACAGCCUGAAGACUGUUGCCUCAGGAUCCCCCAAAAUGAUGCCUUUUUCUAAGACAAGGGCACAGCCUAGGAUGCAUAAUAUAAUGCUCCAAAUGCCCAGGGCACCUGUUCUCAUCCUGGAUGCCAAAAGGGAAAGUUCAGGUUCAACUCUAGAAGUCCCCAGCAUGUGAACAGACACAGGUCAGGCAAGUCGCCCAAAGACAUGACCAGCCAGGGCUGAGAGUACCAAGGCCUGAAAGAGGAGGGACCAGAGGAUGCUAUGGGGUGGCGCCUCUUCUCGGUGCCCACAGA
rnacentral:lncRNA from 1 species